UACAGGGGGUGCAAACGUUGCUCGGAAUUAUUGGGCGUAAAGCGCGCGUAGGCGGCCACCUAAGUCGGAUGUGAAAGCCCCCGGCUCAACUGGGGAGGGUCACGCGAUACUGAUCGACUCGAAGGCAGGAGAGGGUAGUGGAAUUCCCGGUGUAGUGGUGAAAUGCGUAGAUAUCGGGAGGAACACCAGUGGCGAAGGCAGGUCUCUGGGCCACUACUGACGCUGAGAAGCGAAAGCGUGGGGAGCGAACAGG
rnacentral:rRNA from 1 species